rnacentral:rRNA from 1 species
GCUAGCUUGCUAGAGCCUACACACAGGUGCUGCACGGCUGUCGUCAGCUCGUGUCGUGAGAUGUGGGUUAAGUCCGCAACGAGCGCAACCCUCGUCCUUAGUUGCUAACGGUUCGGCCGAGCACUCUAGGGAGACUGCCUUCGCAAGGAGGAGGAAGGUGAGGACGACGUCAAGUCAUCAUGGCCCUUACGGCCAGGGCUACACACGUGCUACAAUGGGGCGUACAGAGAGCUGCGAUACCGCGAGGUGGAGCCAAUCUCUUAAAGCGUCUCUCAGUUCGGAUUGUUCUCUGCAACUCGAGAACAUGAAGCUGGAAUCACUAGUAAUCGCAGAUCAGCUAUGCUGCGGUGAAUACGUUCCCGGGUCUU